rnacentral:lncRNA from 1 species
CAUUCUUUGGACUAGUAUCUUCAGAUCUCCCUCCAAUGGUUGCCUCCAGAUGCUGCAGACUGAAUCCAUCGUUGUUGUUCCCCUCAUCAACAAAGGAAUCCUCAUUUGGACCUUUCUUUAUAGGUACAUCUACACACAAAGUCUCAUCGGAAUGGCUACCAAACUCUUCAACACGUCUUUUAUGUACUGAAUCUGAGUUUUCCCCAUUUUCCAGCUUCUCUGCUGUCCAAGUAGACACGCCCACAUCAUGUGAAUUUACUGCAAGUCCAUCUGAAAAUCACAAGUAUGAAGAGCAAAAAACCAUUAAUGUGGCUGCCUGCAGUAUAAAUUGAAGGAAAUAGAUCACUGAAUCCCGGUGACGAAAGAGUAGAGAAUCCACCAUCAAAACAACAACCUAAAACAGAAUGCAUAGAAAUGCUUUAACAGGACUCCACAGCCAAAUUCAGAGUAAAAUUAGUUUGCUGAAAAGUGAUCGUAUGGGAGAAAGCCAGAGCAGCUGAACGACUCCAAACUGUUUUCCUUCUCCUGUUCUCCACUGCCAUUUGAUAUAGAUAUCCAGACUUUGGCCACUUUACAACACAAUUCCACAACAAAAAACUUACUUUCGGAGACAAUCUGAUAUGAUCAGCCUUCCAUUGAUGUGUUGUCAGAGUUAUGUUAAGGGUGCUUCUGACGACAAAAUCUAACCAAUACCACUACAAUGAGAACAACAUGGCGCUUUUCUGUUUAUUUUGCAUGUCAACUAAAACAUAAUGGUAGAAUAUAACUAAACUCGAAAGAAAAGGGGUAAACUCUUAAAUGGCCAGAGAGGCUAAAGAUUUUACCUCUAUAGCCAUCACCCUGGCUGAUCCACAAACUGGAUAGAAAAAGAAACCCCCACAAAAGAAGAACCAGAGACAAGGAAAUCUUGUAUAACCGGUUCCUUAUUCCACUGAUAUCCUUCUCGGAAGCUCUUCUUUGCAGAAAAGCCCUUUGUGAUCUCUGCAUUGCUACAUCAAUCCAAGAUAAGUCUUCCGAUCGUUCACUUGAACAGGAAAGAAUCAACGGGAAAACCUGCUCCAAACAAUGCUAGGCAUCAGUCUCAACACAACCACUAGAAUAAUAACGAAAAUAGGGGAGAAGGUUAACCUAUUGUGAAAGAAAACAUGGAGCAUAGCACAUAGAAUCAAGGCAGGAAACAGGUCAUGGUUUUUAGAUAGUCAUGGAACUAAUGUGAGACGUGAUUCUUAGUUUUAGAGCUGAAUGCUCUGCUUUUGAAUUCAUCAAGGCCAAGGGGUACAACACGAGACAGUCGAUCAUUCUUUGGACUAGUAUCUUCAGAUCUCCCUCCAAUGGUUGCCUCCAGAUGCUGCAGACUGAAUCCAUCGUUGUUUUUCCCCUCGUCAACAAAGAAAUCCUCAUUUGGACCUUUCUUUAUAGGUACAUCUACACACAAAGUCUCAUCGGAAUGGCUACCAAACUCUUCAACACGUCUUUUAUGUACUGAAUCUGAGUUUUCCCCAUUUUCCAGCUUCUCUGCUGUCCAAGUAGACACGCCCACAUCAUGUGAAUUUACUGCA